UGCACCUAAGGACUAAUGCUCUGGUUUCUUUAACUUCAGAAAGUUGAACUAUGAACUUUUAUGCUUACUUUUUCUUGUCUUUCUAUCUCCUUAUUCUUUUACUCCCUUCCUCUAUGUUGUCAUCUUAAUAUAUACCAUCCUCAUUUUCCCUAUU